UGCUAGAAAGUGCAAAAACGGUGCAGUUUCAGUGCACUCCACUACACCGGUGUCAAUCAAUCGAAAACCCCAUAUGGGACUAUAGUUAGUAUUGCGGCUAAUUAGAAUCGGUUAUCGCUGGAGCCGGAAUAGGAACUAGAACCACCCAGCAAUCCACUGCCCCGGAGUUUUUCAAUGAAAAACACCAUAAGUUUGUUACAUUUACGACUUAGGCUCUUAUGAAAGGGUGUUCAUAAUAACAAAAGAUUUGUGGCAUUUUCAUUGAUUGCUUCAUGUUUUAAAGUGCAUAUUAUGUUAGUUUUGUAUAUUGUACAUUUGAACAUAGUAUAAAUAUAGAAAAAUAUUACCUCCGAUGGUGCAUUAUCGUUGACUCGUGACUUCUUCAGUACCGGAAAGAUCAAUCGUUCAAAAGAUGCGCAUAGAAUACGAAUCAUCCACCAGAGCUCUGCGUCAUUUGUAUACUUCGCAGGUUCUGUAAAAAAUGAUGAUUUAGCCAAGAACACCGAAGAAUGUGAUAUGAACCUAUAGGCUCGUGCGGUUUAUCAGAAAAUACUAAUCAUCAUCUGUUUUGAUUGGUGCUAGCUAGUGAGCAAUUACUACGAUGUCAGAGAUUUGAUGUGGAUGGCGUAUGAACCAGCGUGUACACUAAGAAAAGAAGGGCAGCCUAUAUUUAAUAGCUGAUUUAUCCAUCGUGCCAUCCCGAGAGCAUCGGGAUAAAAUUCCGCAAAGGUAGUGCGAUUGGAACAUUAUGAUGCACAACGGGUACGUCAUAAGAUUCGAACGCAAAUGUGUCACUUAUUGAUGCACAUUCGUUUUCGGAUCUUAUUGUGCAGCCGCGUAUCAAUGCCCCGAACGUUGUGAGUCGUCCUUUUCGGACGUUAUGUCUUGAGGUGUACAAGGCAGCGAUGCCACAAUUUUUUCAAUGUCUGUAGAAGAAUAAUUAAAAUGUCUGUAGAUGGUUAUCCUAGUUACACUAGAAUAUUACUUUAAAAGUUGAUUUAUAAUAGAAUUCUAUUAUGAAGGAAUAACUCGUAUUAGAAUACAGUUAUUCUAGUGCAACUUUGCAAAACACCAUUAUUCUUUUAAGUCUUUAGAUCUCUGGCUACGUCUGUAGGAAGCUAUCAAAAGUUUGUAAAAUAUAGACAUGUCUGUAAAGCAAUAGCAAUAAAAAAACCUUACCUCCUCCUGUUUGAUAA